UACGUAGGGUGCAAGCGUUAAUCGGAAUUACUGGGCGUAAAGGGUGCGCAGGCGGUUCUGUAAGUCAGAUGUGAAAUCCCCGGGCUUAACCUGGGAACUGCGUUUGAAACUGCAGAGCUAGAGUGCAGCAGAGGGAGGUGGAAUUCCAUGUGUAGCAGUGAAAUGCGUAGAGAUAUGGAAGAACAUCGAUGGCGAAGGCAACCUCCUGGGCUAGCACUGACGCUCAUGCACGAAAGCGUGGGGAGCAAAC
rnacentral:rRNA from 1 species